CACUUGUAUGAAAGGAGAGAAGGUUAGCACUCCCCUUGAGAAGGAAGAGGUCCUAGUGGUCUUUACAACCCAUACAUGGUUAAGGAAUUGCCACCUACUUUGUGGCAUCUAACCAAGUUUUUAG